ACAAGCGCCUAGUUUUGGUAGAGCGAGUCACAUCUUUGAACAAGGUUUUCUCUGAUUUGAAUUUUAGAAAGUGAUGUUUUCCCCAAGUCAGUAUCUCUGUCAAUUCUUAGACUUUUUAUCUGACAAGCCUGUGGCAAGCCUGCAUGUAUGUUAAAUUAAAAAUUAAAUUAAAUUACCAUAUUUUAUAGUGCCCUAUACAGGUAAAACGAGCUCUAAGGCACUUUACAUUGGUAUAACACUGGUGUAAAAGAUAAGAAAUUUAAAACAAUGGUAAUGAAGAGAAAUAUAAAAACUAAGACUUUACCCAUUUAAAAAAUAUUUGGAAAAUAAAUGAGUUUUGAUGGCCCGCUUAAAGUCACUGUUCCUCAUUUAAUGUAUCUGUUAUCAAGAUGAGUUGGUAGAUUACGUCAGUGAGUUUUUUUAUCUGUUUUUGUCUGAAUAUAUUAUGUAUUAUCAAAAUAGAUCACAUUUAUUAGUUCAUUUUAAAUCUAUCACAUCUACAAUGAUUAGUCCUGGUGAGAAGAGCUCUUUAAGCUGGGCAACCUGGAAAGGUGCUAUACAAAAUAUUUUAUUUUGUAUAUACAAUAUAUUUCAUAUCGUAUUGUAUUAUAUUGUAUGUACCAAGUCUACUGGAAUGAUGAAAAAUAUGAUUAUUAUUUGGUCAAAUAAACUAUACAAAAUAUUAUAUUUUGUAUAUACAAUAUAUUUCAUAUUGUAUUGUAUUGUAUUGUAUGUACCAAGUCUACUGGAAUGAUGAAAAAUAUGAUUAUUAUUUUGUCAAAUAAACUAUACAAAAUAUUUUAUUUUGUAUAUACAAUAUAAUUCAUAUUGUAUUGUAUUAUAUUGUAUGUACCAAGUCUACUGGAAUGAUGAAAAAUAUGAUUAUUAUUUGGUCAAAUAAACUAUACAAAAUAUUAUAUUUUGUAUAUACAAUAUAUUUCAUAUUGUAUUGUAUUGUAUGUACAAAGUCUACUGGAAUGAUGAAAAAUGUGAUUAUUAUUUGGUCAAAUAAACUAAAGAUUGUCAAAAGAAAUCAUGUUUAUAGAAUUUUUUUCGUUAUAUCAUAUUUAUACUUCAUGUAGGAUGAAGUGUAAAAUUAAGAAGUUUCUGAUGAUUAUAACAUAAAUGUCAAAAAAGACUAUGCAAAGUCAAAAGUAAUCAGAUUUACUUGAAAAAUUUUUAUCAUGUAAAUAUUCACUUUUAUGAUUGUAAAUUAUAUGAUGUUAUCAUUGUUUAUUAUUUUAUCAAAAUUGAUUAUGUAAGGAAAAGUGGGACAAUUAUAACCUCAGUAUGAUUAUAUCCCAUACAGUGUGGAAACCAGCUUGCAGCACAUAUCAAUGUACAUGGGUGCUAUAAUAGGACCUUGGCUAUAAUUGUAGAACCUUGCCUUACCUUGUCAGAAGAAAUCUACUUUAUCUGUAUCAUUUUAUCAUAUCUUGAUUGUGAUCUCGAAAUUUAAUCAAAAUUACAUCAAAACCUGUGAUUAUAACAUGUAUAAUAGGAAAAGUAGAUUAUUUAGGAAAAGUAGAUUACAUGUAUAUAGAAAAGUAGAUCAUGCAUGUUAUAAUAGAAAAAAGUAGAUUAUACAUGUUAUAAUAGAAAAGUAGUCAAAGAUUUUAGGACUGUAGUGAAUGUAGAUAUUGAGGGGGGGUCACUCCAACAUGUCCAAAUGAAUUGUGCAGAGCAUUCUUGUACCAAAACGUGUGUGAUGGGUUUUUGCUGAUGUCAAGGCAAAGCACGUGUGACAGCUAGGUCCUUGUGUUUCCAUCAAGCCGUGUAGUGAGACCAGAGGAAUCCUUAAACAUGUUAAAAAGAUACCUUCCCUCCGUCAUAUGCUACAUAUUUUCAAUAAGCUUUUUCCUCAAAUACUAAACUCUGUAAUUAUUUCCUCAAACCCGCAGUUGCAAGGGGGCAGUAGAAUCUCUUUUAUGAGGACCCCCUUGAGAACAGACACAUGCUGUCCUUAAUCAUGUUAAUUGGAAAGUGUCCUGAUUACAGGUUUAAAGUUAUAUGGAAAUCACCCGUCUGGGACCAAAAUUAAAAUCGCUGUCCUUUAUAGAGAGUGUGUCCUGGUUACAGAGGUUCCACUCUACAUAAAUACCAAAAGGGGGCUGUGUAUUACAGUAUGAUACUAAGAGAGGGGUCAUGCCAAUAAAAGGGGGUAGGGAUUGAAAAAUACCCCCCCCCGGAGUACAAGGUUGCUCAAGACAUGUGGUAAACUGACCCCCUGUGUGUAGAUGUUAGUAUAUACAGUAGAACCUCUCUAUUAAGGACACCCUUGGGAUUGGCAAGUGCUGUCCUUAAUAGAGAGGUGUCCAGAUUAGAGAGGUCAAAUUGAAUUGAAACAACAACUUUGGGACCAAAUCUAUUGUCCUUCAUAGAGAGAUUGUCCUUCAGAGAGAGAUUGUCCUUAAUAGUGAGGUGUCCACUAAGGGAGGUUCCACUGUAUAUUGAAAAAACAUAUAUGUACAGCUUUUACCAUUGCCUUAUGCUUUGGUGGUGAACUUCCUGGUGAGACCUAAAAAUGCCUUACCUCUGGGGCUGUGCAUGUUAUUUCCCCUUGAUAAUGUGAUUAGAUCAAUAAAAUGAAAGAAAAGUGAUGCAUGCUAAUUAUGGUUUUAGGGAAACAUAGCGUCUAGAUCUUAGAAAAUAUCAAACUGCACAAAGAAAUUGUCAAAACGUGAAUAAUUAUUAUAUGACUUUAUUGGAUUUCUUAUGUAUCAGAUUUCUAAUUUUACAAAUAAAACGAUUAAACUAGA